rnacentral:rRNA from 1 species
ACAGCAGCAGCCACGGGAAUACGAAGGGGGCUAGCGUUGCUCGGAACCACUGGGCGUAAAGGGUGCGUAGGCGGGUCUUUAAGUCAGGGGUGAAAUCCUGGAGCUCAACUCCAGAACUGCCUUUGAUACUGAGAGCCUUGAGUUCGAGAGAGGUGAGUGGAACUGCGAGUGUAGAGGUGAAAUUCGUAGAUGUUCGCAAGAACACCAGUGGCGAAGGCGGCUCACUGGCCCGAUACUGACGCUGAGGUGCGAAAGCGUGGGGAGCAAACAGGAUUAGAUACCCCAGUAGUCCCUGUCUCUUAUAC